rnacentral:misc_RNA from 1 species
GCGUCGUGCACUUCAGGGUCUUGACCCAAGAACAACUGCAAGUAUGUUUACCAAUGCAAGAUGCAUUGGGGAGAAGAAGAUCAAUGGAGAUGACUGCUUUAUUCUCAAGAUAUGUGCAGAUCCUGCAACUCUAAAGGCUAGGAGCGAAGGACCAGCAGAGAUCAUAAGGCAUGUUUUGUUUGGCUACUUCAGUCAGAAAACUGGGCUCCUUGUUCACAUAGAGGACUCCCAUUUGACCCGCAUUCAAAACAAUGGAGGUGAUGCUGUGUACUGGGAGACUACAAUCAAUUCCUUCCUUGAUGAUUAUAGGCCUGUGGAUGGUGUUAUGAUUGCUCAUUCAGGGCGUUCUGUAGUAACCCUUUUCCGGUUUGGAGAUACAGCAAUGAGCCACACCAGGACCAGAAUGGAAGAAGCAUGGGCAAUUGAGGAAGUAGCAUUCAAUGUCCCAGGCCUGUCAAUGGAUUGUUUUAUUCCUCCUGCUGAACUAAGAUUUGCUUCUAUUAGUGAAACCUGCGAGCUUCCUCAGAGUCAGAGGGUAAAACCUGCAGUACCUGCUGCAGCAUAUCGUACCAAAGUUGCUGCAUUGGACGGAUCCCGUGAUAACAUUGCUAACAAUAACGUGUGGAAAACAGAUAUUUAGGAAAUGGAAAGAGCUUUUGGCAUGCUGGUGCACAGCAAAGGGUAGGUGUCUAGUUUACUGGACCAAUCAACUAGGAGGCGAACUGGUAAAGGCAAUAGUAGGUAGUCGUUUGCAAAGUUUUGGCAUUGAAUCAAUGUCUCUUUGAAUUUGUAAAUAGAGCAGAGUCAUUUUGCAUAUUUUCUCAGGUUCUGAUUAAAUAAUUAGUAUUCUCCAAAGAAGAAUUCCAAUAUGGACUCAGAGCUUGGGUUUAUAGUGGGUGAUAGAGCUGACGGAGGUUUGUUUCUCCAUUUACCCAGUUGCGUAGAUGUCUUCGUUAGUGAAAUCUAAAGUUCUUCUUUGUUGUAUGGUUUUAUCAUCAAUGAAGCAAUUCAAGUGUAGUAAAUCACUUGGCAUCUUGUUGAAGUGUAAAUUGUAAAGGCAAUUUGAAAACAAUCAGAUAGAGUUGUUACGUUAUUUCAAGAAAAAGUUAAUAGAGUUUCUCACAGGGAGUUU